GUCCAGCGCGCGCAGGCGCAGAAGCCGGAGAAGGUGCCGGGUCGAGUCCCUCCUUCCGGUAUUCAUCCACCUUCUCUCCGGACUCUGGUCGCGGCCGCCCGUGACCGCCUCUCCAACCCCAGUGGGCGGGUGGCAGGACCAUGGAGAACGCUAACGGUGCCAGCCAGAGCGCGGCCGAGGAAUCUCUCCCGGCCGAUGGGCGAGCCGGGAGCACCACUCCGCAGGGAGAACAGGGCCAGCUCCUUUAUCACGAGGAGACCAUCGACCUCGGUGGAGACGAGUUUGGGUCUGAAGAGAACGAGACUAUAUCGGAAGAUUCUAAUCAUUUUGUAGAUAAGCUUAAUGAGCACAUGAUGGAGAGUGUCCUCAUUUCUGACUCUCCUAACAAUAGCGAGGACGACACAGGUGAGCUGGGCUGUUUGCAGGAUGUCGUGGAGCCUGCAGACGGUCACGCUGAUCCCAGACCGGAAAGUCUGGUGGGUGAAGGAGCAGUCGACGCACUGAGCAAUGACACUGGAAGCGACGGAGACGGGGGAGACCGUGCAUCUAAAGGCGGCUCUGACGCGACCCCCGACCCAGAGCUCGAAGAAGUAGAAGGUGCUCCCGCCUUGGGAGAAGAGGGUGCCGAGGACCCGGGCCCGGAGGGGCCGGGGCACAGCCCGCCUUGCAGGCAGUCCCCUCGUGAGGAGGAGCCCGUGCCCGUGUGCACCAUUUUCAGCCAGUCGUUUGCCCGCUCCCAGCCGCCCCUGCUGCUGCGGGACGGCUUCCAGUCCCAGAUGGUGAAGUCUCCGAGCUGUGGCGGUGCCAGCGACGCGGUGGCCAAGACCCCUCCCCAGGCGGUCCAGCCAAGCCCCAGCCUCAGUAAAUUCUUUGGUGACCCCGGCAACUCUAGUUCCUUGGCCUCGGACUUCUUUGACUCCUUCACCACGUCCACUUUCAUCUCCGUCAGUAACCCCAACGCGGGCUCUUCCGUUCCUGAGAAACGGUCUUCGCUCUCCACUCCGGUGGGACCGAGAUCCCCGGGUUCUGCUGCGCCCUGUCUCUCCCCGGGGAUUGAAAAGUCAGAGUCCGCCGUUCCCACGGCUUCCCUAGAAAUUCCUCAGUCUCCAAAACCGUUUUCCCAGAUCCAGGCCGUGUUUGCAGGGAGCGAGGACCCCUUCGCCACCGCCCUGAGCAUGAGCGAGAUGGACCGCAGGAGCGAUGCCUGGCUCCCCGGGGAGGGGACCCGGGACAUCUUGAUUUCAGUGGCAACCCAGCAGUACAGCACGGUGUUUGUAGACAAGGAGAGCCUCACCAUGCCGGGCCUCAAGUUCGACAACAUCCAGGGGGAUGCAGUUAAAGACCUGAUGCUUCGCUUCCUGGGUGAGAGAGCCGCGGCGAAGAGGCGGGUCUUAAAUGCUGAGUCCGUGGAGCAGACUUUCGUCGGGUUGAAGCAGCUAAUCAGCUGCAGGAACUGGAGGGCGGCGGUCGACCUGUGCGGGCGCCUUCUCACCGCCCACGGCCAAGGCUACGGCAAGAGCGGGCUGCCCACCAGCCACACAGCAGACUCGCUGCAGCUUUGGUUUGUGAGGCUGGCGCUACUGGUGAAGCUGGGCCUCUUCCAGAACGCCGAAAUGGAGUUCGAGCCCUUUGGAAACCUGGAUCAGCCAGAUCUCUAUUACGAGUACUACCCUCAAGUGUACCCGGGCCGGAGGGGCUCCAUGGUGCCCUUUUCGAUGAGGAUCUUACACGCGGAGCUUCAGCAGUACCUGGGGAACCCGCAGGAGUCACUGGACAGGCUGCACCGAGUGAAGGCCGUCUGCAGCAAGAUCCUGACAAAUCUGGAGCAGGGCUUGGCUGAGGACGGAAGUGUGAACAGCAUCACACCGGAGAACAGACGAGCCUCCGUUCGGCUGUGGCGGUCCCGCCUGGGACGGGUGAUGUGCUCCAUGGCAAACUGCCUGCUCCUGAUGAAGGAUUACGUGCUGGCUGUGGACGCGUAUCGCUCAGUCAUCCAGUAUUACCCCGAGCAGGAGCCCCAGCUACUGAGUGGUAUCGGCCGGAUCUUCCUACAGAUCGGAGACAUAAAAACAGCUGAGAAGUAUUUUCAAGAUGUGGAGAAAGUGACGCAGAAGUUGGACGGACCACAAGGCAAAAUAAUGGUUUUAAUGAACAGAGCCUUCCUUCACCUCGGUCAGAAUAACUUUGCAGAAGCCCACAGAUUCUUCACAGAAAUCCUAAGGAUUGAGCCGACAAAUGCAGUGGCCAACAACAACGCCGCCGUGUGUCUGCUCUACCUGGGCAGACUCAAGGACUCCCUGCGGCAGCUGGAGGCCAUGGUCCAGCAGGACCCCACGCACUACCUGCACGAGAGCGUGCUCUUCAACCUGACCACCAUGUACGAGCUGGAGUCCUCCCGCAGCGCGCAGAAGAAGCAGGCUCUGCUUGAGGCCGUCGCCAGCAAAGAAGGGGACAGCUUCAACACACAGUGCCUCAAGCUGGCGUAGGACGCUCGCCUUCUGGGGCCACGGGGCCCCUGUGCAGCACGUCCGCCGGAGCGGAUACCCUGACCUGACCGCUGGCUCCGAGGACACCCCUUUCCCCGGGGCCCGGGGGCGGGUCGUCUUCACCCGGAGCCACGGCGGGGCCCAGACCCUCGGGCGAGCGGUUUGUUAGACUCCAGGCGGCCGAGUGCCCGAGACUCUGCCACGGUUCACGAACGUGGUGUCCGGGAGGCGGGGUCCGUGUGAGGCACCGCGUCCCUUUUAUUCCCGGGAGCUGACCUGCUUCCGCUCUUCAUUCUGACUGUCCGCAGAGGAACGCUGACCAACCACCCGUUCUCUGUAAAUCCUCCAGUCCAGGUUCUUCGGUUGGUCUAAUAAACUGACACGAGACAGGUUAACGGGAGACAAGUUUGAUCACGUACAUACAGGGGCCCCAUAAGAAUAUGAGACCCCGGGACGAGCCCGGCAGCUGAGGCUUCUGCCGUCCUGAGCGGAGGAAGGGGUGGAGGCCUGGGGCUUCACGGGACCGUAACGACAACAGAUCUGCGGACAUGAGAUGUUUGCCCUGCUGUGCGGAUGGGUCAUUCAGAUAAAAGUUCAUAGCCGGUAACAGCUCCCGCCGGGGGCUAGGCCUCCUGUCCAAACCCUUCCAAGAAGCGAGAGGCAAGUUUUUUCUUAAAUCUGCUACAUCCUGAUGGUCUUCGGCUCAAUUUAAUCCACGUGCCAGAGCAGCGUAUCUGGGGGUCGCAUAUCCUCUCCCGGCCUCGGUCCCACCUCUGAAACUUCUGGGCUGAUGGACCGCUCCGGCUCACUGAGCCAGCCUCCCAGUCCUGACGACGGGGCCGUUCGGUUAAGCAGCCGGCUCCAUUUCAGGAGGCUCCCGAGUUAGGUCUGGGGGCAAGUCAUCGGAUAUUUAAUAAGAGGCAUUUCUGGGGAGACAAAAAACGAAGGUUAAUCUGGGGAGCAGAUCCGGUCUCGGUGAGUUCCGGAGGCAGCCAGGCGCACAGACGUCCAGAUGCCUGGCUUGCAGCAUCUUCAGGUGGGGUGGAGCAGACAGUGGAAACGAGACAGACGGGCCUGGCCUGCAGGGAGGCCGUCUGGCGAGCUCUCCGAGUGGCCCUCACAGCAGCAGGCACGGCAGUUAUCCACACGUGAGCUGUUGUGGUUUCUCUGAACUUUAUGUGACGGUGUCCGGCUGUAACCUACACGGCUUCAGGGAAAGGGCAGUUGUGGUUCUCAACGAUUCCGAGUCAGAAGGACUGGUGGCGGGGAGGGGGUGAACUGGAAAUGCCAGUUUGGAGAGUUGCAGCCAAAUAUAGGAAGAAAAUAGAAGAACUCGGGAUCUAGUCCAGUUUACAGGUAAAAACAAAACCUCACGGGCCGUUCACGGCACUAGAAUCUGCUGUCCACGAAGGCAUGUUACUGAAACGUAAUUUCUCUCUACAGUCACCCCCACAUUCACAGCAAGAUUAACUCUGUUUUCACAGUUUCAGUACCUUGGCCUUGUUAUUUACAUAAGUGCAGAAGAAGACUGCUCACCAUACAGACUUUUAAGUCCGCUUGGCUCAGACUUUCCGUAAGGAAUCUCCCGUGAACUUCGAAAGACUCUCCAGGCUGAGAAGCCGCGCUUAGGAGCCAUCAUCAGACUUUGCCUGCAAUACAUACAGAUUUGGGUGAAUUCCUCUCUUCUCAAGGUUCCAAACAUUUCCUGAGAUUCUUGGGCCUGCCCAGAAGCGACCUUCCCUCCUCACCGGGUCAGGCCGCCAGGAACCCUGUAAGCAAGGCCCUCAUAGGCUCCAUUAAGGUCAGCCUUAGUUCCUGGAAGCCGAUCAUCUCGGAGUCUUUACAUCUCCCUCAAAUAAGACGUUGUGGUCAGAGCCUGGUAAUAUAACCAACAUUCCCAAUCACGUCCUGUUACAAGAACGGAUUCCUAAAUCACUCCUUUGAGUGGCAGUACACUUGCACAAGAGUACGAAGUUUGCAAAUUCUGGAGGGGCCAAAGAGGGAGAAAAAUGUUCACCUUUGUUCACAAAGCAGUAUCUUAAAUUGCUGAUCCCAUGAGAAAAGGGAAGGCUUUCUUAGGUUUGGAAAAAGGUAAAGAACAGUGUUUCAAAGCAGAAGUCGUAAAAUUGUAGUUCCGAAUCCAUUCGGUUCCAUCUAAUACUCGUUCUGCCUGAAUCCAUUCCUCGUUAUUAGUCCUAGAAUUUCUCAUCCCGCUCACUUUCACGAUGUCAGGUCCUACCUGUCAGUCCUUU